rnacentral:rRNA from 1 species
UACGUAGGGUGCAAGCGUUGUCCGGAAUUAUUGGGCGUAAAGAGCUUGUAGGCGGUUUGUCGCGUCUGCUGUGAAAUUUCGGGGCUCAACCCCGAACUUGCAGUGGGUACGGGCAGACUAGAGUGUGGUAGGGGAGACUGGAAUUCCUGGUGUAGCGGUGAAAUGCGCGGAUAUCAGGAGGAACACCGAUGGCGAAGGCAGGUCUCUGGGCCAUAACUGACGCUGAGGAGCGAAAGCAUGGGGAGCGAACAGG